rnacentral:rRNA from 1 species
GUGAAAUUGUUGAAAGGGAAACGAUUGAAGCCAGUCGUACCUACGGGUUUUCAACCUUUUAGGGCGUGAUUCUGUGGGUUUUGGGGAGCUUAACGGCCCUCGGGUCUGCAUAUUUGUGCCCAUUGGGUGUACUUUCCCGGUGGUAGGUUAACAUCAAUUUCGGUCGUCAUAAAAUGAUUGGAGGAAUGUAGCUUCGGUCUCGUACUGAAGUGUUAUAGCCUCUGGUAGAUGUGGUUACCGGGAUUGAGGAUUGCAACGGAUACCCUCUGGGCUACCCGCCUGAUCUCUGAUGGUUGCUCUGGUGCCGAAAGCGUGCUUACGGUCGUCAAAGUUGACUGUCAAAAGGUUAGAACGGGUUAAAUUCGUUAAAGGAUGUUGACGUAAUGGCUUUAAACGAC